CGUAGGGUGCGAGCGUUAAUCGGAAUUACUGGGCGUAAAGCGUGCGCAGGCGGUUUUGUAAGACAGAUGUGAAAUCCCCGGGCUCAACCUGGGACCUGCAUUUGUGACUGCAAGGCUAGAGUACGGUAGAGGGGGGAUGGAAUUCCGCGUGUAGCAGUGAAAUGCGUAGAUAUGCGGAGGAACACCGAUGGCGAAGGCAAUCCCCUGGACCUGUACUGACGCUCAUGCACGAAAGCGUGGGGAGCAAACAGGAUUAGAUACCCUGGUAGUCCACGCCCUAAACGAUGUCAACUGGUCGUUGGGUCUUUACUGACUCAGUAACGAAGCUAACGCGUGAAGUUGACCGCCUGGGGAGUACGGCCGCAAGGUUG
rnacentral:rRNA from 1 species